UGAGGAUUCAUGACAGAAAUUCCCUGGAUGC
rnacentral:piRNA from 1 species